CUUUCUGACCCUGGGAUUGAACAUGCAUCACUUACAUCUCCUGCACUGGAAAAAAGAAAACCUUGGCAUGAUUAGAAGAUUUGAGGGCAAGAGGGUCAAAAGAUAAGAGUCCAACCAGCAAAUAAUAGUUUAAGAUUUUAACAACAUUAAAUGAAAGUGCUUCCCUGGUGGCUCAGACAGUAAAGAAUCCACCCACAAUGCAGAAGACCUGGGUUCGAUCCCUGUGUUGGGAAGAUCCCCUGGAGGAAGGAAUGGGAACCCACUCCAGUAUUCUUGCCUGGAGAAUCCCCACGGAUGGAUGACCCUCACAGGCUACACAGCCCCUGGGGUCACAAAGAGUCGGACACGACUGAGCAACUAAGCACACAAAUAGAAGUGAAGCAACACUACUGUAUUCUAUAUUAGCCUGAGUUUCUGUUCUUAGAGUGACCAAACUGGGGAAUAAUGUUCUUACUGAAACCUUAACUCUUCAAAAAAAUCUUGUAUUUGGACAUUGCUUUAACAUUGAAUGACCAAAUGCAGUUCCCAGCUAGAGGUGGUGUUAAAAGGGCCUGGGAGUGAUUAUAAUAAUAUAUUUAUGUUUAGUUUUGGCUUGCGUCUACCUGGCAUGUUUAAUUUCCUAAUUAUAUUUUGCUUUUAGUUUAGGUAAAAUUAGCUUGCAUUCCCUUGGCACACACCAAGUACAGUUGUGGAGGCGGCCUUCCAAAACCAUAGGUUGUUGACAAGAGUGGCUAACUAGAUUAGGAUUAAAUUUACUGAGAAAUCCACAAAGAGCCUGAGCACAUGCAGAUAAUGACAAGUUGACUAAGAGGGAAUGUAGUUAGGUCAUAUGAAAACUCAUUUCUGGCAAUGUCUUGGUUUCAAAAACAUGUGAUAGAUACAGGGCAAUCAAAGCUCAUCUGUGCUCUUUUGUUAGAAUUUCUUAUGUCAAGAUCUGGGGCUUCCCAGGUUGGCUACCGCGGUGUAGACAGGGAUAAGCAUGGUCUGGAAUAUUUAAAUUUCAUAACUAUAGCCCUGUGGAUAGAGUCAGAAAUGAUAUGCUACUCAGUAAUUUUGUCAUUUGGCAACAGUAAGGCAUGGUAACAUAUGGUUUGCUCUUUGGAGUUAGCAUAAAUGUUGCCAUUGACUGAAAUUAAGAAUUUUCUUAUUCUAACAGGGAACCAGUUUUGAUACAUGUGUAAGUUCUUUCAUCUUUUCACAUGGAAGGAAGCACACACUGCAUCAUUAUGUGUAAGACUCUGGGGUUUUGGUUUAGUGGGUUGGAGGAUGUGGCCAGUGAGGUCAAGGCCAUGGUUUAAUCAGAAAACCACUCGGUUCCCCAAGCAAAGUCUGCAUUUCUAGCUGCAGAAACCCAUUUCCUUGGUUUUAAAAGAGAAUUCUGAAGAGUAUGCUAUGGCUCAGCACAAAUAACUUUAUUCCAGGAUUCAGAAAAUAAUAAUUCAGAAAAUAAUUCUGAAUUCAUUUGUCAGUGGAUCAUCCCUUUUGCUCAAAGGAGAAGACAAUAUAACCAAUAGUUUUCUCUGUUUGUAAAAUAUUCAAUAUCUCUCCUUCCAUUUUAAUGCUGAAAGAAAUUUACUAAUUAGAAAUCAUUAUUCAUUUUGUUAUGUAUAUUCAUUGCUUUUCUUCCUGCUUAUACUUUCACCCCUUCUUUUUUCAUUUUCCAGAAAUGUUCAUUCAAACCCUAGGAUGUCUUUUUUUUUUUUUUUUUUUUUUUAGUUGGGGGAAAAAUUGUUUUGCAAUGUUGUGUUGGUUUCUGCAGUACAUUUUUUAGCUGUUUAAUGAAGCUUCAAAAGAUUUAAUUUCUAAAGCCAUCAAGUCAGUACCCUUUCAGAUCUGUUUUAGUUUGACUCUAAUUGAGCUUGUCUUUGCGCAAAGAAAGUAUUUCUGAAAGAGUUAAUUUGCAGUCUCAACAGAGGCUAAUUUAGGAGAGAAUCUAAUCCAUCAAGUGUCCUCCUGGUGGAGAAGCAGCCCCAGCCCAGUGCCUAGUGAGGGGGUUAACUCCUGGUGUGCUACUUCUGAGCACUAGGUUGGGACAUUCCUUCAACCCUUAGCAGUGUGCAGUGGCAGGUUUAAGGUAGAGACAAAAAUGCUGUUUUUCUUCCCAGGUCUUGAAUUUUGGCAGUUAGAAAAUGCCCUCUGACUUCUUUUUCUUUCUUUCUUCCUUUCCUACUUGUUUAUUUUUCAUUAAAAAAAAAUGAGAGAGGAAAGAAAACACUCAGGGAUUGAUUUCUUUGUGAUGUGAUAGUUUUAAUUUUAUUUAGACUAAUAGAAGCUAUUUAUUCCCAAUGAUUUUUUUAAGUUGAGCUUCAUGUAUAAAA